CCCCCCACCAGGGCCCCAAUCUCCCUCCCAGAGAGCCAGACCCAGUGCCGGAUGCAUUUGUGACAGGGCUGGGAAGAAAGCCAGGCGGGAUUCAUCCCCUCAUAGCUGCUUGGGGUGCCUGGCUGGGUCCCCCGUCGUGCUCGGAGCGAUACGGAGACCCCCGGGAGCUCCCUCAGCAGACCCCACGCCCCAGCACAGUGGCAAAGCGCCUGGCUGGAAAAAAGGGUGAUCUGAGGAACAAUCCUUCACUUGUCUCUGCAUCCCAGAGCACCAUAGCGACACAUGUCCGGCCUCGCCAUUGCUGCGGUGCGGCGAGAGGGGAAACCAAGGCACCAAGAGAUCAGAAUGAAAACCAAAGACUUCCUAACUUCCCCGAUGAUGAUCAUAUAUAAUCUAAGCUGAAAUCAAACAAUUUGACGUGAAAACUCCAAAGGUUGCACUGAAAAGAAAUGUUGCCCAACCAGACGCCUGCUUGCGGGAAGUUGCCAUUUGCAUCAAACAGCAUUUUUGGAUGGAAAAACCAGCCCCUCGGGCAACCGCUGCGCAGGUCGUCCGGGAAGGGGCGUGGAACCGGGGCUACAGAUUCUCUCCGAAGCAGAGCCCCAGGGAUAGAUUUUUUUGGU